CGUUUCAACAAGGAAAAUGUAAAAUUCUACAUUUAAGCAAGAGAAGUCAGAUGCACAAACAGAAAAGCUGGCCUGGCCAUAUUGCCUGUGACCUGGUUCUAGGUGUUUGACACCACAGAAGCGGCCAACUACCAUCACCAUGGGAACCAGAGAGGACUGAAGUGACAGUUGGUCUUUCAGAGAGGGGACAACUGGAAGUAAGAGGAACUGCUGGUAAGAUGGAACAGAGAGCAAAGUACCUGGUACCUGUGCCAGUUUUGUAGGGAAGCAGAAGCUGAGAUAGAUUGGCUUUUGGAAGGCAAAGUCAUGAUAGCUGAGUUAAGGCUUGAACCCAGGACUUCUCAGUACAUCCGGCAUUAAUUGAAAAAUCGAAAACCACAGAAUGAGGUCAAACACGUUGACAAACAAAUGAUUAAUUUCCCACGGAAGCAAGGAAUUGGAUCCUUGGUGAAUAUUUGCUGUCAUCACGAUUAAAUCACACAGACUGAUUUCUCACCAUGAAUCGUGCUUUUAGCCGAAAGAAAG